CCUACGGGUCGCAGCAGUGGGGAAUAUUGCACAAUGGGCGCAAGCCUGAUGCAGCCAUGCCGCGUGUAUGAAGAAGGCCUUCGGGUUGUAAAGUACUUCCAGCGGGGAGGAAGGUGUUGUGGUUAAUAACCACAGCAAUUGACGUUACCCGCAGAAGAAGCACCGGCUAACUCCGUGCCAGCAGCCGCGGUAAUACGGAGGGUGCAAGCGUUAAUCGGAAUUACUGGGCGUAAAGCGCACGCAGGCGGUCUGUCAAGUCGGAUGUGAAAUCCCCGGGCUCAACCUGGGAACUGCAUUCGAAACUGGCAGGCUAGAGUCUUGUAGAGGGGGGUAGAAUUCCAGGUGUAGCGGUGAAAUGCGUAGAGAUCUGGAGGAACACCAGUGGCGAAGGCGGCUUACUGGUCUGCAACUGACGCUGAGGCGCGAAAGCGUGGGGAGCAAACAGGAUUAGAUACCCCAGUAGUC
rnacentral:rRNA from 1 species